rnacentral:rRNA from 1 species
AGAGUUUGAUCCUGGCUCAGAACGAACGCUGGCGGCAGGCCUAACACAUGCAAGUCGAACGAGAAGCCACCUUCGGGUGGUGGACAGUGGCAGACGGGUGAGUAACGCGUGGGAACGUGCCUUUCGGUUCGGGAUAACCCAGGGAAACUUGGGCUAAUACCGGAUACGCCCUUCGGGGGAAAGAUUCAUUGCCGAAAGAUCGGCCCGCGUCGGAUUAGCUAGUUGGUGGGGUAAUGGCCUACCAAGGCGACGAUCCGUAGCUGGUCUGAGAGGAUGACCAGCCACACUGGGACUGAGACACGGCCCAGACUCCUACGGGAGGCAGCAGUGGGGAAUAUUGGACAAUGGGCGCAAGCCUGAUCCAGCCAUGCCGCGUGGGUGAAGAAGGCCUUAGGGUUGUAAACCCCUUUCAGCGGGGAAGAUAAUGACGGUACCCGCAGAAGAAGUCCCGGCUAACUCCGUGCCAGCAGCCGCGGUA